AUAUGUGUAUAUAACGCAAGUGUCCCAAGGCAAGCUCAGCGUGGACGGAAACCACACGCUGAGAAAAAGGGCAAAAGCUCGCUCGGUCUCGAUUUUCAGUACUAAUACGACGACGAGGAGCUGG
rnacentral:rRNA from 1 species